CCUACGGGAGGCAGCAGUGAGGAAUAUUGGUCAAUGGGCGCAAGCCUGAACCAGCCAAGCAGCGUGAAGGAUGACGGCCCUACGGGUUGUAAACUUCUUUUAUAAAGGAGUAAAGUGAGGCACGUGUGCCUUUUUGUAUGUAUUUUAUGAAUAAGGAUCGGCUAACUACGUGCCAGCAGCCGCGGUAAUACGGAGGAUCCGAGCGUUAUCCGGAUUUAUUGGGUUUAAAGGGAGCGUAGAUGGGUUGUUAAGUCAGUUGUGAAAGUUUGCGGCUCAACCUUAGAAUUGCAAUUGAUACUGGCAGACUUGAGUACAGUUGAGGUAGGCGGAAUUCGUGGUGUAGCGGUGAAAUGCUUAGAUAUCACGAAGAACACCGAUUGCGAAGGCAGCCUACUAAACUGCCACUGACGUUGAGGCUCGAAAGUGUGGGGAGCAAACAGGAUUAGAUACCCUAGUAGUC
rnacentral:rRNA from 1 species